GGAUUCCCCUAGUAGCGGCGAGCGAAGCGGGAAGAGCUCAAAUUUAUAAUCUGGCACCUUCGGUGUCCGAGUUGUAAUCUCUAGAAAUGUUUUCCGCGUUGGACCGCACACAAGUCUGUUGGAAUACAGCGGCAUAGUGGUGAGACCCCCGUAUAUGGUGCGGACGCCCAGCGCUUUGUGAUACAUUUUCGAAGAGUCGAGUUGUUUGGGAAUGCAGCUCAAAUUGGGUGGUAAAUUCCAUCUAAAGCUAAAUAUUGGCGAGAGACCGAUAGCGAACAAGUACCGUGAGGGAAAGAUGAAAAGCACUUUGGAAAGAGAGUUAACAGUACGUGAAAUUGUUGGAAGGGAAACGCUUGAAGUCAGACUUGCUUGCCGAGCAAUCGGUUUGCAGGCCAGCAUCAGUUUUCCGGGAUGGAUAAUGGUAGAGAGAAGGUAGCAGUUUCGGCUGUGUUAUAGCUCUCUGCUGGAUACAUCUUGGGGGACUGAGGAACGCAGUGUGCCUUUGGCGGGGGUUUCGACCUCUUCACACUUAGGAUGCUGGUGGAAUGGCUUUAAACGACCCGUCUUGAAACACGGACCUCCUGUGUGAAGUGAUCC
rnacentral:rRNA from 1 species